AGUUUGAUCAUGGCUCAGAUUGAACGCUGGCGGCAGGCUUAACACAUGCAAGUCGAGCGGGGAAAGGUAGCUUGCUACCUUACCUAGCGGCGGACGGGUGGGUAAUGCUUAGGAAUCUGCCUAUUAGUGGGGGACAACAUUUCGAAAGGAAUGCUAAUACCGCAUACGCCCUACGGGGGAAAGCAGGGGACCUUCGGGCCUUGCGCUAAUAGAUGAGCCUAAGUCGGAUUAGCUAGUUGGUGGGGUAAAGGCCUACCAAGGCGACGAUCUGUAGCGGGUCUGAGAGGAUGAUCCGCCACACUGGGACUGAGACACGGCCCAGACUCCUACGGGAGGCAGCAGUGGGGAAUAUUGGACAAUGGGGGGAACCCUGAUCCAGCCAUGCCGCGUGUGUGAAGAAGGCCUUUUGGUUGUAAAGCACUUUAAGCGAGGAGGAGGCUCCCAGUAUUAAUACUACUGGAGAGUGGACGUUACUCGCAGAAUAAGCACCGGCUAACUCUGUGCCAGCAGCCGCGGUAAUACAGAGGGUGCAAGCGUUAAUCGGAUUUACUGGGCGUAAAGCGUGCGUAGGUGGCCAAUUAAGUCAAAUGUGAAAUCCCCGAGCUUAACUUGGGAAUUGCAUUCGAUACUGGUUGGCUAGAGUAUGGGAGAGGAUGGUAGAAUUCCAGGUGUAGCGGUGAAAUGCGUAGAGAUCUGGAGGAAUACCGAUGGCGAAGG
rnacentral:rRNA from 1 species